CGGCGGGCGGCACGGCGAGGGCUGGGGAAGAGGAGGAGGCGCUCGGGCUCCGCAGCGCGCUAGCUCCGUAUCAAUUAUUUACACGGCUGACUCGUUUUUGAUGAAGUCCAUAGUACUUGCAACCCAUUUUCAAACUAUAAUCCAAUAUCCUGGGAAAUUUAAGCUCUUCCAAGAGUGAACUCCCCAAACACCUAGAAGGCAGAGCGAGGUGACACCCUUCCUCCCUUGUGUCUUGGCAUGACCAGACACGGCACUGAUUUCUACGUUCCAGCCCUUGGUACCAUCUCAGCAUUCAUGUCUGCCUUGCUCUGCCCUGCUGCUUCCUACAACAGUCAGAUCCUGUCUCACCCAACACACAGUCGAGCUCUGGAGUGAGCAUUUUUAAGUACAGGAGUCCAGCUGUGGUCAGUAACUCCAGCAGAGACAGACAGAAAAAAGAAAGUGGUCUGCGUAACAGCUAUCAGUUUGAGAUAUUGGUGCUCAGGGGGAUGAGACUGAAAGAGAAUUGGGCUUUUUCCAGACUUUUGUAAGGUUUAAGUACUGUACUAAUCCCUACCACCUCCAAUAUUUGCUUUGAGUUAUGCAAAGGUGAAAAUAUCUGAGAGCUGGAGGCUGCAUUUUGAGAGCAGGCAGCUCAGAUAAAUCGCUGCAACUGUAAAUAUGAUCCUUAAUGGAGAUAGAUGGGCCAAGAGGUCAUGCAAGGAGUUGAUUAAAAAAACCCAGAGAAAUCUUUUUUGAUCUGUUCCCUUCCCUGGUGAUCUUGCUCAUGCCCUUGUAUGUACUGAUGGCACCAGCAGCAAGAAUGUGUGUCCUGCUGUUGCCAAACAAACAGAUGCUAGCCAUGUCCCUUACUCUGGGAAAGUGGGACUUUGAGCUGGAAGAUCAAAUGCCAACCAUUAUUUCAUUACAGCAAUUACUCUGGGAUGCGUAUUUCUCCGCAGAUAAGAGACCAGUCCACAACUUCACUGACUUCAGCAAUCUUAAAUGCAGUCCUGGAGUGAGGCAGUAGCUCAAACUUACAAAUUUCUGGUCCCUGAAAAGUUCUGAAAUAUCUUAAAAUCACUCCAAAAUCAAGUUUCCAGUCUUUUUACAGGCUGAGCGUUGCUUUUCCUCUGCCACUUCUUACAUGCUGUCUCUGUACUUGGAAGACGACAGAAGAAAAGCAACAACAGGGAAAAAAAAUUGUUGUGCAGAGAUGAACCUCAGCAAUGUAAUCUUUAUGUGUCAGUGAAAACUUACCCUUCUCUUUUGUUACUUGGAUAAUAAACCUUUCAGAAGGCUUACGCUACCUGGCAACCACCAACGAAACAAGAGUUUCUGCUGGCUCUGGUCAAUGCUCUGCUUUGUGCCAGUCUGCAGAGCAGUAUGAGCCCAGCAUCCUAAUCUGGUUUAGGUGAGGUUCUCCAUCACCCCCUCCUUUCCCUUGCCUUAUUAAAUCCUACAUCAGGCAUAGCUCUUGUGAGCCAAGCCUCACUGUGCAAAACUCAGGCAGGCUAUCAAGCUUGUCGUGCAUGUAAUUUCUCACCUGUGCUGGAUCCUGAAUACUGCAUGAGCCUUCCUCUGUUUUCAGGUGGAGUUUAGCCUGUGAGUGCUGCACAGUAAACUGAGAAGCUACCAAGGAGCAGUGUUGCUUUCACAUUUCUCUUUCAUCCCAUGGUUAAUAAACAUUAAACUUGCUGACACUAUAAAACAGCGUCCAGGGGAUGGCUGAUACACUGGAAGCAUUUGUCUAAGCACAAAUUUAUACUCACAUGUCCUGCUCUCCAAAUGCAUGUCUAUAUGCAAAAGUCUGGAAGUACAGUUAUCCACUAGAUCUUAAUGAAACUAAAGGUUAAUAAUGCUGUGAUGUCAAAUGUCUUCAGGAUUCUGCAUCUUAUAUAUUUGGCCAUAGCUUGACUGUGAUUUCCUUAUGUGUUGCAGUAUUGCCAAGUUACAGAAAUAAAAGCCUGGGGAAAAAAAUACUAUG